CAAGUCUGGUGCCAGCAGCCGCGGUAAUUCUAGCUCCAAUAGCGUAUAUUAAAGUUGUUGCAGUUAAAAAGCUCGUAGUUGAAUUUCGAGAUCGGCUUACUGGUCGUGCUUUUGUACGCACUGGUAUAAUCGGUUUCUCCUUUCUGACGAACUUUAAUGACAUUAAUUUGGUGUUUUAGGGAAUCAGGACUGUUACUUUGAAAAAAUUAGAGUGUUUAAAGCAGGCUCACGCUUGAAUACAUUAGCAUGGAAUAACGGAAUAGGACGUUUGAUUCUAUUUUGUUGGUUUCUAGGGAUCGACGUAAUGAUUAAUAGGGAUAGUUGGGGGUAUUAGUAUUCAAUUGUCAGAGGUGAAAUUCUUGGAUUUAUUGAAGACUAACUACUGCGAAAGCAUUUGCCAAGGAUGUUUUCAUUAAUCAAGAACGAAAGUUAGGGGGAUCGAAGACGAUCAGAUACCGUCGUAGUCUUAACCAUAAACUAUGCCGACUAGGGAUCGGAUGAUGUUAAUUUUUUUAAUGACUCAUUCGGCGCCUUACG
rnacentral:rRNA from 1 species